UUCGCAAUGCCCGAAAGGGUGACGAAGCGACGCCGCGUGGGUGAGGAAGGCCCUCGGGUUGUAAAGCCCUGUCAGGAGUUAAGAAAUGUAAGUGCGCUAAUAUCGCAUUUAUUUGACGAAGGCUCCAAAGGAAGCCACGGCUAACUCUGUGCCAGCAGCCGCGGUAAUACAGAGGUGGCAAGCGUUGUUCGGAAUUAUUGGGCGUAAAGAGCACGUAGGUGGGUUUGUAAGUCAGAUGUGAAAGCCUUCUGUUCAACGGAAGAAUUGCAUCUGAAACUACAAGUCUUGAGUGUAGGAGGGGAGAAUGGAACUUCUGGUGGAGCGGUGAAAUGCGUAGAUAUCAGAAGGAACGCCGGCGGCGAAAGCGAUUCUCUGGCCUAUUACUGACACUCAGUGUGCGAAAGCUAGGGGAGCAAACGGGAUUAGAUACCCCAGUAGUCCUAGCCGUAAACGAUGGGCACUAAGUAGAGGGGUUUU
rnacentral:rRNA from 1 species